UACGGAGGGAGCUAGCGUUGUUCGGAAUUACUGGGCGUAAAGGGCUCGUAGGCGGCCAACUAAGUCAUACGUGAAAUCCCUCGGCUUAACCGGGGAACUGCGUCUGAUACUGGAGGGCUUGAGUAUGGGAGAGGGAUGUAGAAUUCCAGGUGUAGCGGUGAAAUGCGUAGAUAUCUGGAGGAAUACCGGUGGCGAAGGCGGCAUCCUGGACCAUUACUGACGCUGAGGCGCGAAAGCUAGGGGAGCAAACGGG
rnacentral:rRNA from 1 species